AGUCGAUGGCCUUCGGCGUAAAGAGUGGUUAAGAUACAAUCCAAACUAAAGCCAAACAACUUCAAAGCUGUUAUACGCACAUGAAGACAUGAAGCCCAACCACGAAAGUGGCUUUAAGUUUCUGACCCCACGAAAGCUAUGGUACAAACUGGGAUUAGAUACCCCACUAUGCCUAGCCAUAAACAUAGAUAAUUAUGUACUUAUUUAUCCGCCUGGGUACUACGAGCGUUAGCUUAAAACCCAAAGGACUUGGCGGUGCUUUAGAUCCACCUAGAGGAGCCUGUUCUAGAACCGAUAAUCCCCGUUAAACCUCACCUCUCCUUGCCUAGUCCGCCUAUAUACCGCCGUCGUCAGCUUACCCUGUGAAGAGAUAGAAGUAAGCACAACCGGCACAGCCCAAAACGUCAGGUCGAGGUGUAGCGUAUGGAGAGGGAAGAAAUGGGCUACAUUCGAUAGCAAUAUUGAAUACGGAUAAUGUUUUGAAAGAGACAUUUGAAGGAGGAUUUAGUAGUAAGCAGGGAAUAGAGAGCCCCGCUGAAACCGGCCCUGAAGCGCGCACACACCGCCCGUCACUCUCCCCGAGCUAACAUAAACCAAUUACUAAUAAACAAAAACU
rnacentral:rRNA from 1 species